rnacentral:rRNA from 1 species
AGUGAACGCUGGCGGUAGGCCUAACACAUGCAAGUCGAACGGCAGCACAGUAAGAGCUUGCUCUUACGGGUGGCGAGUGGCGGACGGGUGAGGAAUACAUCGGAAUCUACUUUUUCGUGGGGGACAACGUAGGGACACUUACGCUAAUACCGCAUACGACCUACGGGUGAAAGCAGGGGAUCUUCGGACCUUGCGCGAUUCAAUGAGCCGAUGUCGGAUUAGCUAGUUGGCGGGGUAAAGGCCCACCAAGGCGACGAUCCGUAGCUGGUCUGAGAGGAUGAUCAGCCACACUGGAACUGAGACACGGUCCAGACUCCUACGGGAGGCAGCAGUGGGGAAUAUUGGACAAUGGGCGCAAGCCUGAUCCAGCCAUACCGCGUGGGUGAAGAAGGCCUUCGGGUUGUAAAGCCCUUUUGUUGGGAAAGAAAAGCAGCAGGUUAAUACCCCGCUGUUCUGACGGUACCCAAAGAAUAAGCACCGGCUAACUUCGUG